rnacentral:rRNA from 1 species
CAUGCAAGUCGAGCGGUAAGGCCCUUCGGGGUACACGAGCGGCGAACGGGUGAGUAACACGUGAGCAACCUGCCCCUGACUCUGGGAUAAGCGGUGGAAACGCCGUCUAAUACCGGAUACGACCCGCCACCUCAUGGUGGAGGGUGGAAAGUUUUUCGGUCAGGGAUGGGCUCGCGGCCUAUCAGCUUGUUGGUGGGGUAACGGCCUACCAAGGCGAUUACGGGUAGCCGGCCUGAGAGGGCGACCGGCCACACUGGGACUGAGACACGGCCCAGACUCCUGCGGGAGGCAGCAGUGGGGAAUAUUGCGCAAUGGGCGAAAGCCUGACGCAGCGACGCCGCGUGGGGGAUGACGGCCUUCGGGUUGUAAACCUCUUUUACCACCAACGCAGGCUCCCAGUUCUCUGGGGGUUGACGGUAGGUGGGGAAUAAGGACCGGCUAACUACGUGCCAGCAGCCGCGGUAAUACGUAGGGUCCGAGCGUUGUCCGGAAUUAUUGGGCGUAAAGAGCUCGUAGGCGGCGUGUCGCGUCUGCUGUGAAAGACCGGGGCUUAACUCCGGUUCUGCAGUGGAUACGGGCAUGCUAGAGGUAGGUAGGGGAGACUGGAAUUCCUGGUGUAGCGGUGAAAUGCGCAGAUAUCAGGAGGAACACCGGUGGCGAAGGCGGGUCUCUGGGCCUUACCUGACGCUGAGGAGCGAAAGCAUGGGGAGCGAACAGGAUUAGAUACCCUGGUAGUCCAUGCCGUAAACGUUGGGCGCUAGGUGUGGGGACUUUCCACGGUUUCCGCGCCGUAGCUAACGCAUUAAGCGCCCCGCCUGGGGAGUACGGCCGCAAGGCUAAAACUCAAAGGAAUUGACGGGGGCCCGCACAAGCGGCGGAGCAUGUUGCUUAAUUCGACGCA